AAAAAAAAAUUACCAUAGUUUUUUCUGUCAGUAACAUUCUAGAUUUGAAGUUGGAGCUGCAGCAGGUGUCAGAGGGCCACUUGUCACCACAGCUUGGAAAUGUGACAAGUUGUCAGAAUGGGUUGGAUGUCCCAGGCUGUUAUUAGCCAUCUGUUUGCAGCUCUGGGCAGGUCAGCUGCCUGGACUUGACCAGAGCCACCCCUUAAUUAUAGAAUUUACAAUUCCAGCCAAUUUAGAGCUGAUUUUGCUUAUUGUUUAUAGAAGGAAGAUGUGUCACACAGCACGGCACUGACUUGUUUCUGGGAUUUUGUGGAAACUGUGGCAUACAAUUUAGGAUUUGGCUGCCGGUGGCUCCCCUGGGCACCAAAAGAGAGUGAGUCUGUGCCCUGCCUGCCUGCCUUCACUUUCUGCGACUGCUUUUCUAACGUCAGGAUGUCCAGCUGCGUAGGAGAAGCUCCUGUGUAUGUUUGGUGUGUGUCAUCCUUACAGUAACCAGACAUGAGGUUACCCUUGCUGUUUGUGAGUGCUCAUCUUUGUUCCCGUAACUAUUCCCAGAGAAGUCACUCCUCAGAAAUGUGCAAGGUCAUUGACUAAGAGUGGGAUACUAUUGUGUCCCACUCCCCUAACAGAAUAGUAAAGUUUCACCACGUUCCUAACAUUUCCAAGGCCAAACAAGCACUUGAAAAUAAGAUAGAGAGAACUGUAUUUUGAUAGCUCUAGCAGGCUUUCCCUUUUUUCUCUGAAACUCAUUUGAAACCACUCUGUAACUAAUUGGAGUUACUCUGCAUGCCAAGGGAAGUUGUGAUGAGGGAGGAUCACACAACAUAAGGGAACAGUGGUGCACCAUAACCACUACUGAAAGAACUACAGUCUGAGAAAAAGUGAUCACAGGGAGAUGGAAGGUAUUCAGGGGAGAAGAUCAAGAAGAGGACCACAACCAGAGCCCAUGACUGCUUGUGUUACAUAAAAGGAAAGACUCCAGAAAAAGAUACUUGUUGGAUAUGAAAUAAAUUUCAUCAGAAGAAAUCUGAUACAGCAAGGUUUUACAUACUCACAGGACCCUGCUUCAUUCAGCGCGCAGGAUGAACAGUGCUUGGAAUGAAUCAGCACAACACAAUGAGAGAGUCUGUUGUUUGCAGGACUCAUCUCAGUUGUUGAGGAAGCUGGGAUAUGUGUUUUGAAUGAUUUGGGAUGUCAAGAAAAGAACGGAUGGUCUUGUAGCUGAGGAAACUGUAUGUUGCCCUUGAGAAUGAGUUUCUGUCACUGCCUCUGCCAAAAAAGACACUGUGAGGGACUGUUUUGGGGGUGAUUUUUUUUUUUUUCCUUAGGUAACCAUUAACUGUGAACAUCUGAUUUUCCUAGAAAUUUCAGGGCAUAGGUCCACAUUCUGUACUACCACAAUCAAAGAAAAUAUUUAACUCAGUGAGUGCUGUUCAUUCUUGCACUUCGGGGAAAAUGUCGUGUGCAGUCAUAAUUAAGAGAUGUUUUACAAGGGAGUUGUGCUUUUAAUACUUCAUAUUGUGCUCUUAAUAGAGCUAUUUGAGCUAUAGAGCUAUUAAAAUUACCUGUAUAUACAUACCUAACAUUUACUGAACUGUUAAACAGGAAACUAGGAAAAGUGACUAAGAGUAAAUCAGUCUUUAGUAGGUAUGGAUAUGGAAUACCAGUGCAAGUUAACUAAUAUUUUAAGUACAAGUUUCCUUAUUUAUAAUGACAGUCUGUGUUUAUCUUUGACACUCACCUGUAUAUCCUAUUAAAGUAGCUGCAAACUGUCUGUGAAGGACUUGUUUUGUUUUGCAAUCUCUUUAAAUAGUCCAGUUUAUUUUCAGUUUUAGGGGAUUAUUUUAAAAUCAAGGCCUAAAUGAAACUGGUGUAUCAGCUUCCACAUAUUUAACUUGCAUCUAGUUUGUUCUCCAAGUAACUCGUUGUGGUUGUCCAUUCCAUUUCCAUUUUAAUACCUAUUUUUCAGCAUCAGUCUAACCAAUGUGACAUUGAUGUGGGAAGAAUUACUUUUUGCUUAUUUAGAACAAAUUAGAAGCAAUGCAGUUGGCCUCUGCUCCCAUGUAGCUAGGUCUUACUUCAGAAGCGCCUUAUCAAUGAAGAGAAAUAUCCACACUGUACUCAGAAGUUGGACUGCAAGUGACAGUCUGCUCAGAUGAGUUGUUGCUAAAAUGUGAAUAUUAUUUCUCUAAAUCAUAGAAACCAAAGAAAGAAUCAUAAGAGCAGAAAACAACAGCAAAAAGUCUUAUCUCUGACAUCUUUAAACUAUAUCACCUUCAGUAAUAUUCUCAACCAGGGUCUCUAUGCCAUAGCUUAGAAGGAGAUUCUCAGCUUUCCGAGAUAUUCUGUUUCUAACUGUUGUGCUCUUCUGAAGUAAUUGAACUGGAACUAACUGUGCUGUUUUACAGUGGAGAAAAAAAACUGACAUUUCCAAAAUUUUACUCCCAUUUUAUCUUCACCUAUUACAUAAUGAAAUGUAAUGGCAGUAUAUUAGUAGUCUAAAAAUACUUAUUUGUAUGUGAGCACUUAUCCCUUCUGUUGUUAUUCUGCAUUUGAGCAGUUUAGUUUAAGGAUCUGAAUAAUUUUUUUUUUUUUUUUCAGUGAGGGUUUGUAUUUUGGGUUUGCUGUUUCUUAUGGCGAAGAGUGAAGGGAGAGGUAAAAAAGGGAGAUCACUGACAGUCCUGCUGGAUUCUAAUUUUUUUUUUUUGGAGUCAUAACAGGUUAUCUUGCUUUUUAAGUAGUCAUUCAUCAUAGAAGCUGGGUAAAAUCAUAAACUCACAUCAGAUGUUUUUACUUGAGUUUUUAUUCACAGCAAUCAACCCUAGUUCAGGAUAAUAAAAACUGAUGAGCUUUAUGAGAAUAUUCCAGGGUUGAGGAGGGUCAGGAUGUGGCUGUGAUUGUGGAAGUGUGUCUACUCAGCACAGAUGGGAAGAUGAAUAUCACUGCCACUGCUGCACAAGUACCCUGAGCUGCAAAGGAGCGAAUCCAGCUGAAUAAGUGAGGCUUCCAGCCAGGGGUGUUCUCAUAAAAGCACAGUCGUGCUGUGUGCCACGUUGUAAGAUUUUGCUUAAAUCAGGUUCCUCCAAAGCAAGGAUAUUGGGUCUAGAGACUAGAGAAUGACUUUAAGAAGACCAGUUAAGUCAUAGAGCUUUUUCUGUCAGGCUUAUGCCUUAUAGUAAAGCAACUCCUAACCUUCCCAUAAUCUUCUGAAUCUUACGUUAGAAUCAAAUUGUAUUCUGAAAAAAAAAUAGGCCUUGUCUACCUCAUCCUCAGCUUCUAUCAUUUAUUAAGAGUAAAAACUAUGGGCCAUUUCAAACGGUCAGAGCUGUCUGUUUCCUUAAAUUUUUCUUUGGAUAGAUUCUGAGAAGUGCUACUUUGAGUUUUCCUAUUUCCUGUAUCAACUAUAGCAGUCUGUAUAUUAGGUGGAGAACACUAUUUCUAAAUCUGUCAUGACAACAGAACUUUGUUCAAAUAAAUUAAUGCAAAAAUAAUACUUAACCUUUUUGGCCUAGUGUUACCCAGAGAUGUAGAAUACAAAAGCAGAGACUGUGUCACAUCAGGUGACAUCAGCUUUUCCUUAACACUAAUAUUAGUAGCAAGCCUGGGGAUGUAGAAAAUACUGCACAAUUCAUUACCGUAUUUCUGAAUGAUCAAAUCUCUUUGUAUGAGAAGGGCUAUAAAUACUUUAUUCUGCAGCCCAAGGGCAAAUCUAUGAUAGAGACAAGAUUCUGCAGCCACAGAUUACAGAAAACUCAGCAUUCUAUUGUGCCAUUAAUAGGAGCUUCUAAGUACUUCUGAGAUGACCUAAAAAUAAAUCAGUGCAGCUCUUCUGUUUUAUAGACAAAUUUAUUAGAGACAUGGGGGAAGGGAGCAAGAGAAGAGAAAAAUGCAUAUGCAAACAAAUUUUCAGAAGCAACAUUUUCUGAAGAGUGUGUGUUAUGCAAGUAGGCAGGUAAGACUCGGACUUGAGUAAAUACCCUAUGUGAAAUCCACAUCUAAAUUAAAAUGCAGUAACUUGCAAAUGUUGAUUGUGAGCCAGCCAACACUGAGAAGUCUCUGCAGUCAAGGUGCUUGUCACUUGUAGUGAAGAAGGAUAAUUCUGCUCUAAAUAGAUUGAGGUUACUGCUCAAAAAAUCUCUCAGCUGUUCCCUUUCACUUACGAAUAGAACAACUAAAACUGCCUGCAAUCUAUGGAUUGAAGUAGGACUUGACUUUAUCAAUAGAUAAUGGUAUAGCACUAGGGACAAACUUCAGUUCAAACCUGUAAGGCAAUUGAAAGAUUGAGCUACUGGGACAUCCCCGAGAUGUGGAUUUCAGCACACUCUUAGACAGACAGGUUAUGUGCUCGAUUUUGAACUCCCUUUGAAUACUAGAUGGGAUUUCUUCCUUCAUUAUUCCUCCUUCAUAGCUAUGUCAGAAUCUCUCUCCCAAUUUUUCAUGUGGUUCUUGAGCAGUGAGUGUGUAGCCAUUUUUUCCUUGGGCUGAUGCUAUGUUUGUUACUAAGUUAAUUAUUUUCCUGUUACUUCUAUAGGAAGCUAACAUACCCUUUCAUGCACUUUCUGAAGUGCUCUCUUGGAAGAGACUCCUGGAAGAGGGGCUCUCUAUUGUUUUGAUCAAAAGAAUGGUCAGGAUUAUAUGUACUAUUUCAAAAAAUGUUAAUACAUGCUUGAGCUUGUAAUAAUGUCAUCAAUGUUGCUCUUUUUUUAACUGGAAAUACCUUGCUUCAUAGUUGCUUCAAUUGUAUUUCUGUUUCUUGGGUGUAGGAGGUUGAUAAUAACUUUGACUAUUAAAUCCAUAUCUUUCUUCCAUCACUUUGUCUGAGAUUCCAGAAAUAAUUCUUGUUAUUGCCCUUUAUUUAUGACCUUGCAUUCUGUACAAUUGAUUUUCAUCCAAUUACUAUUACUUUGGCUCCCAAGGUCAUUGACGUUUAGUGUGACAGUACAGUUCCCUUCUGCAUGGCCAAUUCUUUUCAAUAACAUACUAUCAGCAGAUCUCAGUGGCACACUUUUAUUUUGUACAGUAAGUUUAUAAACAUAAAUAUUAAAUAUUUGCCUCAUGAUGGCUCUUUGAGGACUUCACCCAGAAACCUAUAAGAACUUCUGGUUCAGCAUUCCUCUACAGUCUGUGUAAAGAAGGCAGAUUCACAGUUUACUUAGCUUGACUGAAUUGCUACUCUUUGCAAUGUCUGAUAAAUAUUUACAAAUGUUUCACGAACCUUGUGUUUACAUCAAUAAGGAUGAUAUUUAUGGUGAAAAUAGCUGGAAUGGAAAAGAAGUUUUAAAACUGAAAACAGGUGCAUAGGAAAACAGUGCAGGGUUUUUUUUCUGCAAUUACUUUAGCUGCACCUGUGCAAUAUAGUAUUAAAUCUUACACUGAAAUUGGUAGUAAAAAGACAAACUGACAGCAGAAAAAUUAUCUUUCAUCUGGAAAAUGACAAGUCUGUGUUUCUUCUUUCUUUGAGAAGAAAAAUAUACAGUUCUCUACAACAAUAUAAAGCAAUGCUGACACCUACAGAGAAUGUAUGUAAAUAUCAAGAUAGAAUUUGCAUUUUCUGUGGGAAUUUCCAGAAUUAUUUGGUAAAAGACCAAAUGAUUUAAAGCAAACUUUUAUAUCUUUAUAUCUGCUAAGCAGAAGAUAAAGAUUCAUUUUUCUUUGGUAAAUAAGAUACAACUUUGAACAUUAACCAUAUGCUUUUAAAAUUAUACAACUUUUAGUAAUGUACACUUCCAAGUGCUGUUUUUUUUUUUUUUUACAAAUUGAUUCAUACAUAGCCAUGAACCAAGCCAUCAACAUGAUGCACAUUGCUGCACAGAAUCUGGUUUACUGCCUCUGGUGGGCUGUUUCCCCUUCCCUCCCUCACUGUGACACAACAGGAUUACAUUAAUAUUACCGGGGUUUGAAGCUUUUGUGCUCAGCCAAACAGGUCUAUAAAAACUUCUAUGUACUAUUUUGCCUAUAUGUGGAGUAAAGUUAAAGAAAAAUUAGCCUAACUUAUUGAGGAGAGAUUACAUAGAAGAGACAUAGCUCUUUUAUUGAGUAUUUUUUCACUGGUGUAUUAUUAUGAGUUAUGCAAGCUGUGAUAUUCAACACACUGGUGCAGAAAGGUGGACUCCUCUCCUUCAAAGCACAUGAUAGAUACGGCUUGGACCCAACUCAACUUGUGAACAAAAGGAAAAAAAGUAGUAAGACUGAAUGACUUCAAAGCUUGCUUUAGAGUUCAGGGUUGUUUUUUUUUUUACCCAUAGAGAGCUACAAAACAGAAAGCAAUACUAUUCAUUGAAGGCAAGUAAUAAUUAUUUUGACGUAAAAGGCUGAAUAAACCCCCUCUGUUCUAGUCUU